rnacentral:rRNA from 1 species
UACGAACUGUGCAAACGUUAUUCGGAAUCACUGGGCUUAAAGGGUGCGCAGGCGGUCUGCUAAGCAGGGUGUGAAAGCCCCCGGCUCAACCGGGGAAUUGCGCCCUGAACUGGCAGGCUUGAGUGAGAUAGAGGUGUGGGGAACUUCCGGUGGGGCGGUGAAAUGUGUUGAUAUCGGAAGGAACGCCAGAGGCGAAAGCGCCACACUGGGUCUCAACUGACGCUGAGGCACGAAAGCCAGGGGAGCAAACGGG